rnacentral:rRNA from 1 species
CGUGCAGGCGGUCUGCUAAGUCUAGGGUGAAAGCUCCCGGCUCAACUGGGAGAGGUUCUUGGAUACUGGCGGACUUGAGGGAGGUAGGAGGAGAGUGGAAUUCCCGGUGUAGUGGUGAUAUGCGUAGAUAUCGGGAGGAACACCAGUGGCGAAGGCGGCUCUCUGGGCCUUUCCUGACGCUGAGACGCGAAAGCGUGGGGAGCGAACC